AGGGGUGUAGCUCAGUUGGUAGAGCGAAGGUCUCCAAAACCUUAGGUCGCGGGUUCGAAUCCUGUCGCCCCUGCCA
rnacentral:tRNA from 2 species